GAAAGUGGGGGGCGCAGAAGUGGCAGUAGGGAGGAGAGGUGGCUGGGCCUGGAAGCAGAGACUGGGGCAGAAGUGGGAGAAAGAUAACCGCCGGCCCCAAAGAGCACACAGAUGUUCUGUGCGGGGUCAGCUAGUAAUAAAUAAAAAAGAAACCAUAGCUACUACUAUUGUGCAGAGACCUCUUCUGAUAUUGUACACACUGGUAGCAAAAGAAAUCUGAGUAAAAAAACAAGAUUGCAACCAUAAAUGUUCUAAACACAUAGAUGAGUUUUCUCUCUGAUUAAGCUAUCAAAAUUUAAACUCAGAUUGUAGAGAAAGCUAGUAUGAUAUUUCUCUGUAGAUCAGUGACACUAGCAAUAAAGGAUUUCACUAUAAUGAAAAAUAAAUGAAUAUAGUAAAAAUGCAAUAAUAAGAAACGAGGAGGGCAGAUGAAAAUAAUCCCUGCUCUUUCAUCAAUAGUUUUGUACCAUGUGCAAGCACUUGCCAGUGGUCAUGGAUCAUCAAUAUAGAUGUCUUCAGCAGGGGAUUAUACAAUGUGAAUUGUUCUCUUUUCUCCAUCACCACUGAUGGAAUCAAAGGGAAAAUUAAGCUCAUCUAGUUGCACCUACGUCUACCAUAACCACAUCUUUGUUGAUGCUUAAACUAUAUUUGAGUUGUGUGCAGAGUGGCAAUUCAGAUAAACCACUCCCACACAAACAUAAUAAAGGAACAUGUUGGAAGGACAUCUGGAUAUCUGAGGAAGAUGUCAGGGCAGGUCCACCUGUAUCAAUAAUAAUUAUGUUUAAUUUACUUGCAAUUAUCAGAAUAUGUUGUGAAUCCCCAAGCUAUGUAGAUCAAUGAGAAAUAUCUUCAUUUAGUGCAGCAUAGUAUUUAAUAAAGAAAAGCAGCUAGGUCCUUGCUUUCUUGUAGUCAACUGAAGAACGGAUGACAAUAAUAUUUAAAUAAAUAAAUAAAUAAUCAAAUAAUCAAAUUUUAAGAGCUGGAAAUUAUGCUCCUAUGCAAAUAUUCUAUUGUGCUCACAACACAUUUUCAAAGCUUCUCAGCUAACUGACCCCUUUCUCUUAGAAUCUUUGGCCCUAUCUGUCCUUCAGAUUGUGAAGACAACUGCAUUCCAAAUUCAUCCUCAUUUUUUGUAAAAAGAAAGAAAGAAAGAAAGAAAGAAAAGAAAAAAAUGGUGCUCCAAAGAAUGUGGAAGGAGGAAUGAAGGACCACUGUUCCCUCUUAAAAGUGAAAAUGUGUCUGGGAGAAGGAAAGGAGAAACAAUUGAUGAAUAGGAGCAGAAUGUUGCUUUUGUGUAAACCAAGUGUAGCUGUGCUUCUCCAACUACUCCAGCACAGCAUCUCUCUACAUGUCUGCAUUAAUUGUUCUCCUGCACUUGCCUCAUCCAGUGCAAAGCAUUGUUAACUAUUUUCGACUGGCAGUCAUUCACUCCAUUUGACCUGACUUGACAUGAACUGGGCCUAAUGGAACAGCUUCUGUGCUCGGAAGCUAUUUGUGCACAUUAGCGACACUUUCCCCUGCUGGCUCACUGCUGCACAGUGGAGAUCUGCCAACAUUUUUACUCUCUGUGUUCCUGUGGUUUCAAUGACACACAGAAAUGAAGUGGGUGAUGCUUACCCAUCAUUUGACCUCCAUGCCUGGAAGAGUUGCACCUACUUACUUCGUGCAUGACAGCCUGCUGUUACAGACACAAGAGCAGCAGCAGUAAAUGGGGGGGGGGGGAAGUUGGCACCCCCAGCACUGUGUGACUGUUGUCUGAUAAAACAAAGCAUAAUGAGUAGAGUCUCUUAGGACUUUAUCUUUUCAUGAUAUUAAAAUUUUUAAAAAACACCCUUCAGUGUACAUUUUAGUUGGUUAGGCAGGGAUGUUUGUUUCACGCGUAGGCAAGUCCUGCUUCCCUCUAAAGUGAAAUAUGAAAUGAUGCUCCAACUCACACUAGAACUUACAUUUCCCAAGACCAAUACUUUAUUUUCUCCCAUCCCUGAAGCAGCAUGCACACACACACACACACACACACACACACACACACACACACACACACACGUCCCCAUGUGGGGGCACAUGAGCACCUCCCCUCUUGAUGUUAUGGAGGAAGCACAAAUAGUGUGACCGUCAGAUGCUCCCCGUUUCAGUAUUGCUAAUAACACACCAAAGGACUGCCAAAUUCACCCAGCAGUAAUGUUGGACUGGCUCAUAAGGCAGUGAGUAAGAAGUAAGGUGUGCAUGAUUGUACCAUUUCAAGUAUUCCUGUACACGAGGGGAAAUACUGAAGAAGGUUACAUUUCCUUUAUGUUUUCUGAAUGUCUAGGCAUCUUUCCCCCCUGUUCAUAUACAUGGCACAGUAGUGUGUGUAUGUACUAGUGCCCAGUGUAACCCUUCUUCUUACUCAAGAAAUGCAGCAAGAAGGAGGGGAGUUGGGUUCAAAGUCUCUAUAUUUUCUGAGACAGUGUGUUUCCACCAGUGAUCGCAAGAAAGAAAGAAAUUCUAACACCAAAUUUAAGGAUUUAUAAGCAUUUAAAGUUUUCUUUGUCCACAUGCAUUUGUAUUCAAAUAAUAAUAAACUCAAUAAUAAUACAAUAAUAAUUUAUGUACAAUAAUAAUUUGUACUCAAAUAAUAAUAAACUCAAAAUACUUGUUUACAAAAUGGUACAAAUCAUAAAACAUACAUACAAUGAUAUCAGGGCUAUCCUAUAAAUAGCUUCUUUUCCACAAAGUAGCAUGUGGUUUGAUAAAGAAAACAAAACCAAACACAAACUUCCAGUCUCUUUCAUUUAAAAAAAAUUGCCCCAAUUGCACUUUUGCACAGUUCAUACCACUCCUACAAAAGGUCUCGUGGGUGUGCAGCUGAGACAACAUGCUACAAGCUGAUAGGGCUUGUCCAGAGUCUCAAACUGGUGUACAAAUUGAGUGAUGGGGAACUGAAAUAAGGAAGCAAGUUCAUAAAACACAAAGGGUUUCCAAAAUCUCCUUUUCUCCCACUCAGUUCUUCUUGCUGGGGCUGGAACCUCCAGAAGAUUCUAAGGACCCUCUUAUUAAACAUUUACUUUGCUACACAGAUACAUAUAACUAUUACCAUUGGGCUGGGGCCCCAAGGUCCAGGGGUAAGAGCCCUCUGAUUACAAUAUUCAUUUUUAAAUUUCUUUUAGCAAUAUUGUGCUCCAGCAACAUUAACUUUCCAACCAACCCUGUUUACUCUCAGAGACUGACUCAUAUUAUCCUACAUAAAACCAUUUACCCUUCUCUUUCUGAAAAGAAAGACCCUUUCCCUUUUACCUGCAAUAAGGAAGCAAGUCCAUAAGACAAAAAGGGUUUCCUAAAUCUCCUUUUUGCUGGGGCUGGAACCUCCAGAAGAUUCUAAGGACCCUCUGAGCACUCUCAAUUACCAAUUAAAAAGGGGGCGGAGAGCUCACAACAACCUUUAGUUGCCAAAUUAAGGGUGCCUCUAUUGUUAAUCCACACCAUAAACUAACAAUAAUCCUGGUAAUAAUGGUGGGGGUCAGGGGUGCUCUUACCACUGGACUUCUGGUCUGAAGUCCAGGGUCUCCACACCCCCUGGGGCCCCCAAAUCCUCUUUAAUCUGUCCAAAGUGGUGUGGUCACCACACCAUGCUGUCGGCCUGUGUUAUGCCGGGCAGCCAAGUGUGACUGUGACCUGCACUGGGCAGCCAAGAAUGACCUCUGCUUUAGAGACAGAGCGGGGAGUGGGGAAAGAAAUUAGUGGGAUGGGAAUAUGUUAAGUUGCAUGUUGGCAUAUUUCUGUUAAUGUAUAUUUGCAUAAAUAUAUCUGUUUUAUAUUCUUA